GCUGAGGGAGAGCUACCCUUGGACUUUACAACAGAACACCUGUUUCCAAGAACGGGGUUUCCCUUGAGUGGACUCUUUUCCUUGAUAUGCCUUUUCUAAUAGCCACAUAACACCAUCUCGAAAGGUUACAACUUUCUUCAUAUCAGCUAUGUUUCUCAUUGUGUUUUCCUGAGGUAUCCUUGAUACUCUGCGGGAAGUACCCAGGAGCAGCAAGAAACACUGAAUUUUGGAGUCUUAUCUGGAAAAGACUUGGAAUUGUAAUCCCCCACUUACUGACUGUAAGAGCCUUGGAUCUGUUCCUGAAAACAUGGUGUUCAAGUUGAACAUAUGAAAACAGAACUUCUUUCUUCUUCAAUGGAAGUGACACCUAACAAUUUGGAUUUAGAUUUCUCUGCCUCUUACAUCUACUGCUUGAUAAUGUAGAAACCAACAUUCAAAUCCAGGGAAGCAAAUCCUUUUUUAAAAGAUUUGAUUAAAUUAUCUGAGGAUAAAUUGUGCCUUGUUUUUUAUUUUUAACUAUAUUUUUGAGAGGGAGCUUCACAAACUCUUUAUUAUUCCCUUAAGAUCCAACUUUUGGUUCUUAUGACAUCAGUUUCAGAUGAGGACGCACAAGUCACUGUUCCCAUUACUAUAUUGGGAGGGUGGGGUUCUGAAAAUGUGCAAUGUGAGUGGUGAGUCUUUGCUGGAAGGGUACUAUCUUCUCAUCUACCAAAGGGAAGGUGAGUAGAAAAUUCCUAAAACUAAAAAAUCAAGAAGUGGCAGUAUCUAUUUGUUAUUUAAAAAUAUCAAGGUUAAUAGCAAAUAAAUCUACUAAAUUGAAUUUAAAAUGAUGACCUACAUCAAGAAAUACCAUAAGUCAAGUAAAAAGAUCAGUGACAAAAUGGGAAAAAAUAUUUGCAACUUAAAUGUCAGACAAAGGUUAAUUUCCAUGGUAUAUAAAGUUUCUCAAAAAGGAUAAUUAAAAAGGUCAGCAAUCACAGAAGAAUCAGCUAGAGAUAUCAAUAAUUAUUAGAAAAAGAAAUGCAAAUGGCCCUUAACAUUAUGAAAAGAUGUCCAACCUCACUUAAAAGGCAUUCAAAUCAAAGCUAAACUGAGAUACUAUUUUAGACUUAUCAAAUUGGCAAAAAUCCAAAAUUUAAGAAUACUCUGUUGGCAAGACUGGGAAAACAGACACUCUCAUGCAUUCCCAGUCAUAAUGCAAAUUGGUUCAAUCCCUACAGAGGAUAAUUUGGCAAUAUAUAGCAGAAUUGUUUAUGCAUAUACCCUUAACCCAGGAAUCUCACUUCUAGGCGCCUAACACAAAGAUUAUACUAGUGAAAUAUGAAAAGAUACACACACACACACACACACACACACAAAAAAAACAUACAUACAUAUAUAUCUUUAUACAUAGAUCUAUUUAUCUAUGUAUAGAAAGAGGCAAUUUAUUAUAGCACUAUUUGUAAUAGCAAGACUGGAUACAAUCAGAAUGCCUGUCAAAGGUGACUGGAUGAAUAAAGUAUGGUACUUCCAUACACUGGAGUAUUAAAAAAACUGCAAAAAGGAAAGAGAAACAUCUCUGAAUUCUCCCAUGAAGUAGUCUGCAGGAUAUGUUAAAUGAAAAAAAGAAUUACAAAAAAUAUACAGUAUGCCACUUACAUCAAAAAUGUCUUGCCAUGCCAGAAAGCAAUAGAGCUAUCAAAGAAUGCUAAGACUUUAUAGAAAGGACUCAGGAUAAAAUGGCACAGCCAAUUUUGAAAAAGUUUGGCAGUUCCUCAAAAACGUGAACAGAGUUAUCGUAUAACCCAGCAAUUUCAUUCCUAAGUAUAUACCCCCAAAAUUAACAACGUAUGUCCACACAAAAACUUGCACAUGAAUGUUCACUAGCAGCAUUAUUUGUAACCUGCCCAAGGUGGAAACAACCCAAAUGUCUAUUGACUGAUAAAAGAUAAAAUGUGGUAUAUCCAUACAAGGGAAUAUUAUUUAUCCAUAGAUAGGAAGUACUGCUACAUGUUAAAAUAUGGAUGAACCUUGAAAACACUCUGCUAAGUGAAAGAAGCCAGUCACAAAAGGCCACAUAUUAUAUGAUUUCAUUUGCAUGAAACGCCCAGAACAGGAAAAUCUGUAGAGACAGAAAGUAGAUUGGUAGUUGUCAGGAGCUGGGAGUGGGAGGGGGAAUGGGUAGCGACUGCUAAUGGGUAUGUGGUUUCUUCUUCGGGUAAGGCAGUUAUCCUGAAAUUAGAUGGUGGUGAUAGUUGCACAACUUUUUGAAUAUACUAAAAACCAUUGGCCGGGCGUGAUGGCUCACGCCUGUAAUCCCAGCACUUUGGGAGGCUGAGGGGGCGGAUCACAAGGUCAGGAGAUUGAGACCAUCCUGGCUAACAUGACUAAAAAUACAAAAAAUUAGCCGGGUGUGGUGGCAGGCACCUGUAGUCCCAGCUACUCGGGAGGCUGAGGCAGGAGAGUGGUGUGAACCUGGGAGGCGGAGCUGGCAGUGAGCCGAGAUUGUGCCACUGCACUCUAGCCUGGGCGACAGAAAGAGACUCCCCCGCAAACAAACAAACAAACAAAAAAACCCAUUGAACUGUACAAUUUAAAAUGGUGACUUUUAUGGUAUAUUGAAUUGUUUCUCAAUUAAAAAGGCAUAUACAUUAGGGCUGGGCAUGGUGGCUCAUGCCUGUAAUCCCAGCACUCUAGGGGGCUGAGGCAGGAAGACAACUUGAGUUCAGGAGCUCGAGACCAGCCUGGCCAAUACGGUGAAAUCCUAUCUCUACUAAAAAUACAAAAAUUAGCGGGGGCAUGGUGGUGGGCACCUGUAAUCUCAGGUACUCAGGAGGCUGAGGCAGGAGAAUCGCUUGAACCCAGGAGGUGGAGGGUGCAGUGAGCCGAGAUCAUGCCAGUGCACUCCAGCCUGGGAGACAGAGCGAGACUGUCUCAAAAAAAAAAAAAGAUAUAUACACUAAAUUUUUAAAGAAAAUAUUCAUUGAUAAACAAAAAACAACACAAAAGGACUAAGGUACCAACAUAAAUCAGCUCCAUUUGCCAAAGUCGGGACAAUUUGAGCAUCAAAGUAGUAACUAUAAGUGACUCAAACAUAUAAAAUAUGUUUAAAUCCAUGAUUUGGCCAGGCGUGGUGACUCAUGCCUGUAAUCCUAGCACUUUGGGAGGCAGAGGCGGGUGGAUCACGAGGUCAGGAGUUCAAGACCAGCCUGGCCAAGAUGGUGAAACUCCAUCUCUACUAAAAAUACAAAAAAAAUUAGCCGGGCAUGGUGGCACACACCUGUAAUCCCAGCUACUCCGGAGGCUGAGGCAGAGAAUUGCUUAAACCUGGAAGGGCGGAGGUUGCAGUGAGCCGAGAUCGUGCCACUGCACUCCAGCCUGGGCAACAGAGCAAGACUCUGUCUCAAAAAAAAAAAAAAAUCCAUGAUUUGAAGAAUUCCAGAAAACAAAUUUAUUAUCUUGAAAACUAUUAAUAAUAGAAAAAGAAGCAUUUAUUCUGUCUUUUCUGUACAAACUAUGCCUAAGGAUAACCAAAUAGUUAAUGAGAGAAGAUUCUCUUUACAGAAUUAUUUAAAGUAAUAAACAAUGAAGCAAUAAUAGAAUAUGAUCAUUUUGCAAUUCUGAUGAAUUAUUGGAUCUGUGCAAUAAUUAACAAUGGCUGAUAACAUCACAGAAAGAGAGACAAUCACACAUUACAUAUGAUGCACCCAAUAACACCUAUGAAACACUCUUGCUAAAAAACUAAACUAAACAAAUCUAACCAGAAUCUAAUCAGGCAUCAGCAAACAAAGAAACUUGUUAAACAACUUAACAGGGAUGCAAUUUUGAAAACAUACAUCAUGGGAAAUUCUACAAAACAAUCUGGUUUCUUCAACAACAACACUGCAAGGAACAAAGCAUACAAAGGGAUGGCAGUGUAAUCUACAAAUCACAGACCUAAGAGACACAUUAAACAAUGCCAGUGCAUGAACCUUAUUUGAAUCUGGAUUCAAACAAAUAAACCACUAAAAAUUUAAAGACAAUAAAACAUUGUUUUUAGACAAUUAAGAAUUUAUGAACACUGACAAAAUAUGUGAUAAUGUUAAUGAAUUAUUAAUAGUUUUAGAGAUUGUGAUGGUUAAUUUUAUGUAUCAACUUGACUGGGCCAUGGGGGUCCAGAUAUUUGGUCAAACAUUAUUCUGAGUAUGUUUGUUAAACAUUAUUCUGGGUGUGUUUUUGGAUGAGGUUAACAGUUAAAUCAAUAAACUGAAUAAGGUGGAUUGCUCUUCUUUGAUGCAGGUGGGCCUCAUCCCAUCAGUAAAGGCCUGAAUAGAACAAACAGGCAGAUCCUCCCUUGAAUAAAAGGGAACUCUUUGUGCCUUACUGCUUACACUGGGAAAUGUUGUUUUCCCAUCUUGAAGCCCCAGUUGGAAAAUCUGUUCUCCUUGAGUCUCAAGCCUGCUGGCUUUCAGACAGGAACUGACACCAUUAGCUCUCCUGGUUCUCAAGCUUUCAGACUCAGACUGGAACUAUACUUUGCCUCUCCUUGGUCUCCAGCUUGCCAAUUGUAGAUUUUGGGAUGUCUCAGCCUCUAUAAAUUAUGUACCUAAUUUCUUAUAACAAAUCUCCUCUCUCUCUUUCUUUACACACACACACACACACACACACACACACACACACACACACACACAAAUCUCCUAUUGGUUCUAUUUCUCUGGAGAACCCUGACUAAUACAGGGAUGGUAAGGUGUUAUAGUUAUAGUUAAGAGUCCUUAUCCUUUAGAAAUACAUAUAUGAAAUACUUACAGAUAAAAUGAUAUGAUGUCUGACAUUUGCUUCAAAAUAAUCUUAGGAUGGAAGGAAAUGGAUAAAGAUUUAGAUGAAACAGACUGGCUAUCUGUUGGUAAUUGUUAAAGCUGGGUGAUGGAAGCAUGGGGUUUCCUCAUGCUAUUCUCUCUGCUUUUGUAUAUGGAUACAGUUUUCUUUAGUGAAAAAGUAAAAAAUGGAAGAAAACGAAAAAUAGGAAAUUGAAAAAUAUUAGUAGUAUGGGGAAUUACUUUUUCUCAUAACCACUACUGUAGAAUAAUUUGACUCUUUAUAAUAUGUGUGUGUGUAAAACUAAGUAUCUUUUAAAAAUUAAAAAGUGAAGAGAACCUACCAUAAAUAUAAUAUGUAAUGGUGAAACUUUAGAUGCAUUCUCAUUAAAGGUAGAAACAUCAACGAUUCCUGCUCUUUGACAUUGUACUGGAGUCUUAGCCUUUGCAAUAAGACAAGAAAAAGAAGAGCUAAAUAGAAUAGGAGAAAAAAAUUAUUGUUGUUUGCAGACAAUACUGUAUGUAUAGAUAAUCCAAAAUUAUUUACAAACUGCAGGAAAACUGCUGGAUAUAAGAGCAAGACACAAAAAUCAAUAUUGUUCCCAUAUAUUGGGAAUAACCAAUAGUAAUUAGAAAAUGUGGUAUAACAAAAUUAUAUACACAAUGGCAACAGAAACUGUAAGGUACAUAGAAAUAAAUCUAUCAAAAGGUGGGAAGACAUUUUUGAAGAAAAUUAUAAAACAUUAUUGAAGGACAUAAGAAUAGACCUGAAUGAAAUCAUAAAUAUAUCAAUUAUUUCCCAAAUUAAUCUCUAAAGUCAAUGCCUCAAACCAGAAACUCAAUAACAGAACUUUUUUGGAACCCAAUAAACUGAUACCAAAUUUCACCAUUUCAAAAUUUUGAGAAACAUUUUAAAAAUAAGAACAAAGGGAGGCUUGUUUUUACCAAGAAUUAAGGCUCAUUAGAAAGCUGUUGUACCUAAAAUAGUGAAAUAUUGGGAUAGGGAUAGAAAAAUAAAUUAAUAGAAUAGGCCAGAGAUUCCAGAAAUAGCCUCAUAUAAAAUUUGAAAUAAUGUAUUAUACAGAUGAUAGUUGAGAAAUGAUGGACAAUUCAAUAAAUGGAGUAAUUGGCUUGCCCUGCUGGGGAAAAAAUGAAGUUAGAUUCUUACUCAACACAUAAUAGAAAAAUAAAUUCCAGUUGGAUUAAAGCUCUAAAUAUGAAAAACAAAAGUUAAAUUUGUUAGAAGAACAUACAGGGGGAAAUAUUUCUAUUCUCAAGGUACAGAACACAAGACACAAAAAGCCAAAAUAAUAAAAGGAGGAAUUGAUUGCAUCAUAAUUUAAAUUUUCUGUGUAACAAAAGACCCCAUCCAAAGCAAAAAGAUAGUGACAGAUUAGAGAAGAUAUUUUCAACAUAUCAGAAUAUAUACAGGUCCUACAAUUUGAUAAGAAAAACAAUCUAAUAAAAAGUUGAGCAGAAGAUAUGAAUGAUUUACAGAAGAGAAAAUCCAAACAACAAAUAAAUACAAGGAAAGAUACUCAAAAUACUCAGUAAUCAGAGAAAUAAAAAAGCAAAAUGAGAUGCUAUUUUUACACCUACCAGAUUGAUAAAAAUUAAAAAGUCUGAAUAUGAAGAUGUUGGGAAACUAAAAUGCAGCUUGUUGGACAACUAAUUUAAUACAACUAAUUUAGAGAUAAAAUUCAGGAUAUGGUCCUAUUUAGUUGAAAACUCAUACAUUAUAUGACACAGCAAUACUUAUACUCAGCAUAUACUUCUAGAUAUACACCUGGGAGAAAUUCUGACACAUGAACACAAAGAGACAUAUGAGAACAUUCACUGUAGCACUUUAAAAUAAAAAUAAAUGGGGGAAAAGCUGGAAAUAAAUUAUAAAAGUUGAAUAAAUUUCUGGUGAACAAAAUGUGCCAUAUCCAUAUGCUUAAAUACUAUGCAGUAGUUAAAAAUGAAUGAACUAGAUCUAGCCUAUGUAUCAGCAUAGACAGAUGUCAAAAAUAAUGUAGAAUUUAUUUAUUUAUUUAUUUUUGGAGACAAAGUUUCAUUCUUGUCAUCCAGGCUGGAGUGCAAUGGUGGGAUCUCAGCUCACUGCAACCUUCUUCUCUUGGGUUCAAGUGAUUCUCCUGCCUCAGCCUCCCAAGCAGCUGGGAUUACAGGUGCCCACCACCACGCCCAACUAAUUUUUGUAUUUUUAGUAGAGAUGGGGUUUCACCAUGUUGGCCAGGCUGGUCUCGAACUCCCGACCUCAGGUGAUCCGCCCACCUCGGCCUCCCAAAGUGCUGGGAUUACAGACGUGAGCCACCAUGCCCCACCAUAAUGUAGAGUUUAAAAAGCAAUUUCCAGAAUAGUACAAUGUAUCAAUUAUUGAGAGUAAGAGAAUGGGGACAAGCAUAGACAGCUGUUUUGAGAAGUUCUGCUGUGAAAUGGUAGGGAUUGUAAUAGCUGGAAGUGGGAGUAUAGUGGCUAAGGAGAGUUAUAAUUAUUUUUUUAAAUAAAUAUUACUACAGCUUGUUUGCAAAUGGGUGGGAAUGAUCUGGUAGACAGAAUGAAAAUCAUAAAGAGCAAAAUCCUUGGGAAGGUGGAAGCUUGGGCUCCAAAGCACAGAAGGAGGAUGCUACUAUAUUUUAGGCAGCUAAAUGGUAAGUGGUCAUGGGAUGGAAUGAAGGCGCUGAAUUUGUAGGCUGUUGAGGAGGUAGAACCUUCAAGAAGUAAUGCUAAUUGGAUGUCUGGUGACAUUAUAAAGGGGAGUCUGGUUAAAAGGCAGGACAAAGGACUUCUCUCCUGUCACAGACUCUGCC
rnacentral:lncRNA from 10 species